rnacentral:rRNA from 1 species
UACGGAGGGGGCUAGCGUUGUUCGGAAUUACUGGGCGUAAAGCGCACGUAGGCGGCUUUGCAAGUCAGAGGUGAAAGCCCGGGGCUCAACCCCGGAAUAGCCUUUGAGACUGCAUCGCUAGAAUUGUGGAGAGGUAAGUGGAAUUCCGAGUGUAGAGGUGAAAUUCGUAGAUAUUCGGAAGAACACCAGUGGCGAAGGCGGCUCACUGGCCCGGUACUGACGCUGAGGUGGCGAAAAGCGUGGGGAGCCAAACAGG